ensembl:misc_RNA Metazoa_SRP Metazoan signal recognition particle RNA
GCCAGGUGUCGUGGUGGGCACCUGUAAUCCCAGCUACUCGGGAGGCUGAGGCAGGAGAAUAGCUUGAACCCAGGAGGCAGAGGUUGCAGUGAGCCAAGAUUACGCCACUGUACUCCAGCCUGGGUGACAGAGCCAGACUCUGUCUCAA